UUUGAUCCCAGCAUGACUUAAGCUGGCAUCUCUGUAAAAGAAAAACUGAGAACCAUAAAGAAAAACAGACAACAAACAAGGAUUAUAACUAAUGGUCUCAUAAUGGCUACAUUCAGACUCACAAAUUUUAAGGUAUCUUUAAAAGGGCUAGAUGAAUCUCAGGAGGCCAAUAAAAGUUGCACAGAGCCACUUCUGAAAAGCUUUAGGGAUCUGAGAAUAUGGCAUUUAAUAUAAAAGCUUUUGAUGACAGAGAGACAUGUCAGCUCCUGGCAGCAUCCUGUAUCUCCUCCAAGAAGAUAGAUGGCUGCAGAAGAACUUCCACCUGAAGGCUUAUGGCAAAGCUGGUCAUGCAGCAAUUAGCUGAGAUCCUGUCCAGAGUGUGAAUAAGUGGAACAACAGAGGAUUGAUUGUCCUAUGCUGCAAAGUCAAG